rnacentral:tRNA from 5 species
GGCGAGGUAGCUCAGUUGGUCAGAGCGCACGACUCAUAAUCGUGAGGUCGCGGGUUCAAACCCCGCCCUCGCUACGA